rnacentral:rRNA from 1 species
AGCGGACGCUGGCGGCAGGCUUAACACAUGCAAGUCGAGCGGGCAUCCUUGUGGUGUCAGCGGCAGACGGGUGAGUAACGCGUGGGAACGUGCCCUUCGGUUCGGAAUAACUCAGGGAAACUUGAGCUAAUACCGGAUACGUGCGAGAGCAGAAAGGUUUAUCUGCCGAAGGAUCGGCCCGCGUCGGAUUAGCUAGUUGGUGAGGUUACGGCUCACCAAGGCGACGAUCAGUAGCUGGUCUGAGAGGAUGAUCAGCCACACUGGGACUGAGACACGGCCCAGACUCCUACGGGAGGCAGCAGUGGGGAAUAUUGGACAAUGGGGGCAACCCUGAUCCAGCCAUGCCGCGUGAGUGAUGACGGCCUUAGGGUUGUAAAGCUCUUUUCUCCGGGACGAUAAUGACGGUACCGGAGGAAUAAGCCCCGGCUAACUUCGUG